UACAGAGGGGGCUAGCGUUAUUCGGAAUUAUUGGGCGUAAAGCGCACGUAGGCGGAUUUGUAAGUCAGGGGUGAAAUCCCGGGGCUCAACCUCGGAACUGCCUUUGAUACUGCAAAUCUCGAGUCCGGAAGAGGUGAGUGGAAUUCCUAGUGUAGAGGUGAAAUUCGUAGAUAUUAGGAAGAACACCAGUGGCGAAGGCGGCUCACUGGUCCGGUACUGACGCUGAGGUGCGAAAGCGUGGGGAGCAAACAGG
rnacentral:rRNA from 1 species